rnacentral:rRNA from 1 species
AGCGUACACGGUGGAUGCCUGGGCAGUCAGAGGCGAUGAAGGACGUACUAACUUGCGAUAAGCGCAGAUAAGGCAGUAAGAGCCGUUUGAGUCUGCGAUUUCCGAAUGGGGAAACCCAACUGCAUAAGCAGUUACUGUUAACUGAAUACAUAGGUUAACAGAGCAAACCGGGGGAACUGAAACAUCUAAGUACCCCGAGGAGAAGAAAUCAACCGAGAUUCCGGUAGUAGCGGCGAGCGAACCUGGAUUAGCCCUUAAGCACUCGGUGAAGUUGGUGAACAAGCUGGAAAGCUUGGCGAUACAGGGUGAUAGCCCCGUAACCGACGCUUCAUCGAGCGUGAAAUCGAGUAGGGCGGGACACGUGAUAUCCUGUCUGAAUAUGGGGGGACCAUCCUCCAAGGCUAAAUACUCCUGACUGACCGAUAGUGAACCAGUACCGUGAGGGAAAGGCGAAAAGAACCCCUGUGAGGGGAGUGAAAUAGAACCUGAAACCGUGUACGUACAAGCAGUAGGAGCACCUUCGUGGUGUGACUGCGUACCUUUUGUAUAAUGGGUCAGCGACUUAUAUUCAGUGGCAAGGUUAACCGUAUAGGGGAGCCGUAGCGAAAGCGAGUCUUAACUGGGCGCUCAGUCUCUGGAUAUAGACCCGAAACCGGGUGAUCUAGCCAUGGGCAGGUUGAAGGUUGAGUAACAUCAACUGGAGGACCGAACCGACUAAUGUUGAAAAAUUAGCGGAUGACUUGUGGCUAGGGGUGAAAGGCCAAUCAAACUCGGAGAUAGCUGGUUCUCCCCGAAAGCUAUUUAGGUAGCGCCUCGGACGAAUACUACUGGGGGUAGAGCACUGUUAAGGCUAGGGGGUCAUCCCGACUUACCAACCCUUUGCAAACUCCGAAUACCAGUAAGUACUAUCCGGGAGACACACGGCGGGUGCUAACGUCCGUCGUGGAGAGGGAAACAACCCAGACCGCCAGCUAAGGUCCCAAAGUAUUGCUAAGUGGGAAACGAUGUGGGAAGGCUCAGACAGCUAGGAUGUUGGCUUAGAAGCAGCCAUCAUUUAAAGAAAGCGUAAUAGCUCACUAGUCGAGUCGGCCUGCGCGGAAGAUGUAACGGGGCUAAGCAAUACACCGAAGCUGCGGCAAUAUCUUUUAGAUAUUGGGUAGGGGAGCGUUCUGUAAGCCGUUGAAGGUGAAUCGUAAGGUUUGCUGGAGGUAUCAGAAGUGCGAAUGCUGACAUGAGUAACGACAAAGGGGGUGAAAAACCUCCUCGCCGGAAGACCAAGGGUUCCUGUCCAACGUUAAUCGGGGCAGGGUGAGUCGACACCUAAGGUGAGGCCGAAAGGCGUAAUCGAUGGGAAACGGGUUAAUAUUCCCGUACUUCUGACUAUUGCGAUGGGGGGACGGAGAAGGCUAGGUGGGCCAGGCGACGGUUGUCCUGGUUCAAGUGCGUAGGCUUGAGAGUUAGGUAAAUCCGGCUCUCUCUAAGGCUGAGACACGACGUCGAGCUGCUACGGCAGUGAAGUCAUUGAUGCCAUGCUUCCAGGAAAAGCCUCUAAGCUUCAGAUAGUCAGGAAUCGUACCCCAAACCGACACAGGUGGUCGGGUAGAGAAUACCAAGGCGCUUGAGAGAACUCGGGUGAAGGAACUAGGCAAAAUGGUACCGUAACUUCGGGAGAAGGUACGCUCUUGAUGGUGAAGUCCCUCGCGGAUGGAGCUGACGAGAGUCGCAGAUACCAGGUGGCUGCAACUGUUUAUUAAAAACACAGCACUGUGCAAAAUCGCAAGAUGACGUAUACGGUGUGACGCCUGCCCGGUGCCGGAAGGUUAAUUGAUGGGGUUAGCGCAAGCGAAGCUCUUGAUCGAAGCCCCGGUAAACGGCGGCCGUAACUAUAACGGUCCUAAGGUAGCGAAAUUCCUUGUCGGGUAAGUUCCGACCUGCACGAAUGGCGUAAUGAUGGCCACGCUGUCUCCACCCGAGACUCAGUGAAAUUGAAAUCGCUGUGAAGAUGCAGUGUACCCGCGGCUAGACGGAAAGACCCCGUGAACCUUUACUACAGCUUGGCACUGAACAUUGAACCUACAUGUGUAGGAUAGGUGGGAGGCUAUGAAGACGUGACGCCAGUUGCGUUGGAGCCGUCCUUGAAAUACCACCCUUGUAUGUUUGAUGUUCUAACUUAGACCCAUUAUCUGGGUUGAGGACAGUGCCUGGUGGGUAGUUUGACUGG